GCACCUGAACCUUUCCUAUUCCUUGCUGUGCAGUGCAGGUCUGGGGACAGUUGGUGCUACAGCACAGCAGUGGAAAUCCAGAUAUGGGUGGUUUUCCACUGGUUUGGAACCAAUCUCUACACUUCUACAACAUUU